AUUGAACGCUGGCGGCAUGAUUUACACAUGCAAGUCGAACGGUAACAGGCCGCAAGGUGCUGACGAGUGGCGAACGGGUGAGUAAUGCAUCGGAACGUGCCCAGUCGUGGGGGAUAACUACUCGAAAGAGUAGCUAAUACCGCAUACGAUCUAUGGAUGAAAGCGGGGGACCGUAAGGCCUCGCGCGAUUGGAGCGGCCGAUGUCAGAUUAGGUAGUUGGUGGGGUAAAGGCUCACCAAGCCAACGAUCUGUAGCUGGUCUGAGAGGAGGACCAGCCACACUGGGACUGAGACACGGCCAAGGGUCCUACGGGAGGGAGCAGUGGGGAAUUUUGGACAAUGGGCGCAAGCCUGAUCCAGCAAUGCCGCGUGCAGGAAGAAGGCCUUCGGGUUGUAAACUGCUUUUGUACGGAACGAAACGGCUCUGGUUAAUACCCGGGGCUAAUGACGGUACCGGAAGAAUAAGCACCGGCUAACUACGUG
rnacentral:rRNA from 1 species